rnacentral:rRNA from 1 species
ACGUAGGGUGCGAGCGUUAAUCGGAAUUACUGGGCGUAAAGCGUGCGCAGGCGGUUCGUUGUGUCGGCGGUGAAAGCCCCGGGCUCAACCUGGGAAUGGCCGUUGAAACUGGCGAACUGGAGUGUGGCAGAGGGGGGUGGAAUUCCGCGUGUAGCAGUGAAAUGCGUAGAGAUGCGGAGGAACACCGAUGGCGAAGGCAGCCCCCUGGGCUGACACUGACGCUCAGGCACGAAAGCGUGGGGAGCAAACAGGA